GACGAACGCUGGCGGCGUGCUUAACACAUGCAAGUCGAACGGUGAAGCGCCUUCCUUUUUGGUGGGUGUGGAUGAGUGGCGAACGGGUGAGUAACACGUGAGUAACCUGCCCCCUUCUUCUGGAUAACCGCAUGAAAGUGUGGCUAAUACGGGAUAUUCUGGGUCUGUCGCAUGAUGGGUCUGGGAAAGAUAUUGUUUCGGUGGGGGAUGGGCUCGCGGCCUAUCAGCUUGUUGGUGGGGUGAUGGCCUACCAAGGCGGUGACGGGUAGCCGGCCUGAGAGGGUAGACGGUCACACUGGGACAGAGACCCGGCCCAGACUCCGACGGGAGGCAGCAGUGGGGAAUAUGGCACAAUGGGCGCAAGCCUGAUGCAGCGACGCCGCGUGAGGGAUGGAGGCCUUCGGGUUGUGAACCUCUUUCGCCAGUGAAGCAGGCCUGCCUCGUUUGUGGGUGGGUUGACGGUAGCUGGAUAAGAAGCGCCGGCUAACUACGUG
rnacentral:rRNA from 1 species